GGGGAAGGCUUUCCGAGGAAACGAAAGCGAAAUUGAACCGGAGCCAUCUUGGGCCCGGCGCGCAGACCCGCGGAGUUUCCCGUGCCGACGCCCCGGGGCCACUUCCAGUGCGGAGUAGCGGAGGCGUGGGGGCCUCGAGGGGCUGGCGCGGCCCAGCGGUCGGGCCAGGGUCGUGCCGCCGGCGGGUCGGGCCGGGCCGGGCAAUGCCUCGCGGGCGCAAUGAAUCCGCGGCAGGGGUAUUCCCUCAACGGAUACUACACCCAUCCAUUUCAAGGCUAUGAGCACAGACAGCUCAGAUACCAGCAGCCUGGGCCAGGAUCUUCCCCCAGUAGUUUCCUGCUUAAGCAAAUAGAAUUUCUCAAGGGGCAGCUCCCAGAAGCGCCGGUGAUUGGAAAGCAGACACCGUCACUGCCACCUUCCCUCCCAGGACUCCGGCCAAGGUUUCCAGUACUACUUGCCUCCAGUACCAGAGGCAGGCAAGUGGACAUCAGGGGUGUCCCCAGGGGCGUGCAUCUCGGAAGUCAGGGGCUCCAGAGAGGGUUCCAGCAUCCUUCACCACGUGGCAGGAGUCUGCCACAGAGAGGUGUUGAUUGCCUUUCCUCACAUUUCCAGGAACUGAGUAUCUACCAAGAUCAGGAACAAAGGAUCUUAAAGUUCCUGGAAGAGCUUGGGGAAGGGAAGGCCACCACAGCACAUGAUCUGUCUGGGAAACUUGGGACUCCGAAGAAAGAAAUCAAUCGAGUUUUAUACUCCCUGGCAAAGAAGGGCAAGCUACAGAAAGAGGCAGGAACACCCCCUUUGUGGAAAAUCGCGGUCUCCACUCAGGCUUGGAACCAGCACAGCGGAGUGGUAAGACCAGAUGGUCAUAGCCAAGGAGCCCCAAACUCAGACCCGAGUUUGGAACCGGAAGACAGAAACUCCACAUCUGUCUCAGAAGAUCUUCUUGAGCCUUUUAUUGCAGUCUCAGCUCAGGCUUGGAACGAGCACAGCGGAGUGGUAAGACCAGACGGUCAUAGCCAAGGCUCCCCAAACUCAGACCCAGGUUUGGAACCUGAAGACAGCAACUCCACAUCUGCCUUGGAAGAUCCUCUUGAGUUUUUAGACAUGGCCGAGAUCAAGGAGAAAAUCUGCGACUAUCUCUUCAAUGUGUCUGACUCCUCUGCCCUGAAUUUGGCUAAAAAUAUUGGCCUUACCAAGGCCCGAGAUAUAAAUGCCGUGCUAAUUGACAUGGAAAGGCAGGGGGAUGUCUAUAGACAAGGGACAACCCCUCCCAUAUGGCAUUUGACAGACAAGAAGCGAGAGAGGAUGCAAAUCAAGAGAAAUACGAACAGUGUUCCUGAAACCGCUCCAGCUGCAAUCCCUGAGACCAAAAGAAACGCAGAGUUCCUCACCUGUAAUAUACCCACAUCAAAUGCCUCAAAUAACAUGGUAACCACAGAAAAAGUGGAGAAUGGGCAGGAACCUGUCAUAAAGUUAGAAAACAGGCAAGAGGCCAGACCAGAACCAGUAAGACUGAAACCACCUGUUCAUUACAAUGGCCCCUCAAAAGCAGGGUAUGUUGACUUUGAAAAUGGCCAGUGGGCCACAGAUGACAUCCCAGAUGACUUGAAUAGUAUCCGCGCAGCACCAGGUGAGUUUCGAGCCAUCAUGGAGAUGCCCUCCUUCUACAGUCAUGGCUUGCCACGGUGUUCACCCUACAAGAAACUGACAGAGUGCCAGCUGAAGAACCCCAUCAGCGGGCUGUUAGAAUAUGCCCAGUUCGCUAGUCAAACCUGUGAGUUCAACAUGAUAGAGCAGAGUGGACCACCCCAUGAACCUCGAUUUAAAUUCCAGGUUGUCAUCAAUGGCCGAGAGUUUCCCCCAGCUGAAGCUGGAAGCAAGAAAGUGGCCAAGCAGGAUGCAGCUAUGAAAGCCAUGACAAUUCUGCUAGAGGAAGCCAAAGCCAAGGACAGUGGAAAAUCAGAAGAAUCAUCCCACUAUUCCACAGAGAAAGAAUCAGAGAAGACUGCAGAGUCCCAGACCCCCACCCCUUCAGCCACAUCCUUCUUUUCUGGGAAGAGCCCCGUCACCACACUGCUUGAGUGUAUGCACAAAUUGGGGAACUCCUGCGAAUUCCGUCUCCUGUCCAAAGAAGGCCCUGCCCAUGAACCCAAGUUCCAAUACUGUGUUGCAGUGGGAGCCCAAACUUUCCCCAGUGUGAGUGCUCCCAGCAAGAAAGUGGCAAAGCAGAUGGCCGCAGAGGAAGCCAUGAAGGCCCUGCAUGGGGAGGCGACCAACUCCAUGGCUUCUGAUAACCAGCCUGAAGGUAUGAUCUCAGAGUCACUUGAUAACUUGGAAUCCAUGAUGCCCAACAAGGUCAGGAAGAUUGGCGAGCUCGUCAGAUACCUGAACACCAACCCUGUGGGUGGCCUUUUGGAGUACGCCCGCUCCCAUGGCUUUGCUGCUGAAUUCAAGUUGGUCGACCAGUCCGGACCUCCUCACGAGCCCAAGUUCGUUUACCAAGCAAAAGUUGGGGGUCGCUGGUUCCCAGCCGUCUGCGCACACAGCAAGAAGCAAGGCAAGCAGGAAGCAGCAGAUGCGGCUCUCCGUGUCUUGAUUGGGGAGAAUGAGAAGGCAGAACGCAUGGGUUUCACAGAGGUAACCCCAGUGACAGGGGCCAGUCUCAGAAGAACUAUGCUCCUCCUCUCAAGGUCCCCAGAAGCACAGCCAAAGACACUCCCUCUCACUGGCAGCACCUUCCAUGACCAGAUAGCCAUGCUGAGCCACCGGUGCUUCAACACUCUGACUAACAGCUUCCAGCCCUCCUUGCUCGGCCGCAAGAUUCUGGCCGCCAUCAUUAUGAAAAAAGACUCUGAGGACAUGGGUGUCGUCGUCAGCUUGGGAACAGGGAAUCGCUGUGUGAAAGGAGAUUCUCUCAGCCUAAAAGGAGAAACUGUCAAUGACUGCCAUGCAGAAAUAAUCUCCCGGAGAGGCUUCAUCAGGUUUCUCUACAGUGAGUUAAUGAAAUACAACUCCCAGACUGCGAAGGAUAGUAUAUUUGAACCUGCUAAGGGAGGAGAAAAGCUCCAAAUAAAAAAGACUGUGUCAUUCCAUCUGUAUAUCAGCACUGCUCCAUGUGGAGAUGGCGCCCUCUUUGACAAGUCCUGCAGCGACCGUGCUAUGGAAAGCACAGAGUCCCGCCACUACCCUGUCUUCGAGAAUCCCAAACAAGGAAAGCUCCGCACCAAGGUGGAGAACGGGUCUUCGUGGCCAUGAGAAUGCAUAGGAUCACCUCAAGAAAGCGGGGAGGAAAUGAAGAGUGCGGCACAACCAAGCCCUGAGGAGUUGACAGAUGAGGAUGCCAAGUGCCGGGGUCCCCUCCUGUCUAGCUGGCAAUUGACUCUGCCUUGUCCACUGGCUCCUUCUCUCCUAUCCUCUCCUGUCUCCUUACUGUCUCUUCGCAUCCACUCCAUUGCAUUCAGGCCACGUCAGCAGUCAUCAUGGUGGUCCUGAAACCUUGCUAAAUACCCUAAAGUAUAGACACAGUUACCAUGGAGCCGGUGCUCCACUCCUAGGUAUAUGCUGCAGAGAGAUGGGAGAUCUGUGUCCACACGGAAACUAAUAUGUGAAUGUUCAUGGCAGCAUUACUCACAAGAGCCAAAAAAGUGGAAACAACCCAGACGUCCAUCAGCUGAUGGAUUCAUAAAUAAAACAUCAAAUAUAUCCAUAAAUUGAAUAUUAUUUUGGCGAUAAAAAGAAGUGAAGUGCUGAUACAUGCUUACAAUAUGGAUGCACUUGAAAACUUGAUGCCAAAUGAAAAAAGCCAGUCACAAAAGAUCACAUAUUGUAUGAUUCCAUUUAUAUGAAAUGUCCAGAAUAGACAAAUCCAUAGAGACAGAAAGUAGAUGAGUGGUUGCCAGGGCCAGGAGUGGGAGAGUUGGAGAGAUGAGGAGUGACUGCGCCAAUGGGUAGAAGGUUUCUUUUUGGAGCGAUGAAAUGUUCUAAAAUUGACUGUGGUGACAGUUGCAGAACUCUGUGAAUAUACUAAAAAUGACUGAAUUGUAUGCUUUAAAUGGGUGAACUGUAUGGCAUAUGAACUAUAUCUCAGUAAAGCAUUUUUUUGUUGUUUUUUUUUAAACCCGAUAGUGGUUUCCCACUGCACUGCAUAUACAAGCAAAACCUGCUGUGAUCACCCGGCCUCCUCUCAUGCCACUUUCCCCAUCCCUCGCAUAUGCUCUGUCCACACUGGCUCUCUGUCAGGCCCCUGAACAGCCAAUCCGCUGGCUGCCUUGGGGCCUUUGCUUUUGUCCUGUGUGCCUGAAACACUUACUCCAGCUGUCCUCCUCCAUGUCUGGGCUCCCCUGCUGCUGCUGUCCCAGGAGGUGUCCCCUGUGGUCCUCCGUCAUAGCUGCCUCAGAGCCUUCAGAGCACUGUCAGCAUCUGGAAUUCUUCCGUAUGUACUGGCUACUGGUUUAGUGUCUAUUCUCUUCCCUUUCAAUCUCCUCACCACCAUAGAUGUUUUAAGAGGACAAAGAUCUUACUUGGUUUUGCUCACCGUUCUUUCCCAGCACCAAGCAUAGUGCCUGGCGCAUAGCAGGGGCUGUGAAAUAUGUGAAGAAUGAAUGAAUGUAGCCUGUGGCCCAAGCUUAAGGAGGAUAAAAACCACGCCAGGGAGUGCUUUGGUCCAUUGGCGCCUGUGGGUCUGACCCAAGUCUCUCACACAGGAGAAGGCACAAUCCCUGUGGAAUCCAGUGACAUUGUGCCUACGUGGGAUGGCAUUCGGCUCGGGGAGAGACUCCGUACCAUGUCCUGUAGUGACAAAAUCCUACGCUGGAACGUGCUGGGCCUGCAAGGGGCACUGUUGACCCACUUCCUGCAGCCCAUUUAUCUCAAAUCUGUCACAUUGGGUUACCUUUUCAGCCAAGGGCAUCUGACCCGUGCUAUUUGCUGUCGUGUGACAAGAGAUGGGAGUGCAUUUGAGGAUGGACUACGACAUCCCUUUAUUGUCAACCACCCCAAGGUUGGCAGAGUCAGCGUAUAUGAUUCCAAAAGGCAAUCCGGGAAGACUAAGGAGACAAGCGUCAACUGGUGUCUGGCUGAUGGCUAUGACCUGGAGAUCCUGGACGGUACCAGAGGCACUGUGGAUGGGCCACGGAAUGAAUUGUCCCGGGUCUCCAAAAAGAACAUUUUUCUUCUAUUUAAGAAGCUCUGCUCCUUCCGUUACCGCAGGGAUCUACUGAGACUCUCCUAUGGUGAGGCCAAGAAAGCUGCCCGUGACUACGAGACGGCCAAGAACUACUUCAAAAAAGGCCUGAAGGAUAUGGGCUAUGGGAACUGGAUUAGCAAACCCCAGGAGGAAAAGAACUUUUAUCUCUGCCCAGUAUAGUAUGCUCCAGUGACAGAUGGAUUAGGGUGUGUCAUACUAGGGUGUGAGAGAGGUAGGUCGUAGCAUUCCUCAUCACAUGGUCAGGGGAUUUUUUUUUCUCCUUUUUUUUUCUUUUUAAGCCAUAAUUGGUGAUACUGAAAACUUUGGGUUCCCAUUUAUCCUGCUUUCUUUGGGAUUGCUAGGCAAGGUCUGGCCAGGCCCCCCUUUUUUCCCCCAAGUGAAGAGGCAGAAACCUAAGAAGUUAUCUUUUCUUUCUACCCAAAGCAUACAUAGUCACUGAGCACCUGCGGUCCAUUUCCUCUUAAAAGUUUUGUUUUGAUUUGUUUCCAUUUCCUUUCCCUUUGUGUUUGCUACACUGACCUCUUGCGGUCUUGAUUAGGUUUCAGUCAACUCUGGAUCAUGUCAGGGACUGAUAAUUUCAUUUGUGGAUUACGCAGACCCCUCUACUUCCCCUCUUUCCCUUCUGAGAUUCUUUCCUUGUGAUCAGAAUGUCUCCUUUUCCCCCUCAGAGGGCAAAGAGGUGAACAUAAAGGAUUUGGUGAAACAUUUGUAAGGGUAGGAGUUGAAAACUGCAGUUCCCAGUGCCACGGAAGUGUGAUUGGAGCCUGCAGAUAAUGCCCAGCCAUCCUCCCAUCCUGCACUUUAGCCAGCUGCAGGGCGGGCAAGGCAAGGAAAGCUGCUUCCCUGGAAGUGUAUCCCUUUCCCCGGCAGCUGGGAAGUCUAGAACCAGCCAGACUGGGUUAAGGGAGUUGCUCAAGCAAUAGCAGAGGUUUCACCCGGCAGGAUGACACAGACCACUUCCCAGGGAGCACAGGCAUACCUUGGAAUAUUGCCAAGCUUCCAGCUGCCUCUUCUCCUAAAGCAUUCCUAGGAAUUUUCCCCGCCAAUGCUGGGCGUACACCCUAGCCAACUGGUAGGAAAAAAUCCAGGACAAAUCCUAGAGGGUAUAAAAUCAUCUCUGCUCAGAUAAUCAUGACUUAGCAAGAAUAAGGGCAAAAAAUCCUGUUGGCUUACGUCACUGUUCCACCCGGUGUAAUAUCUCUCAUGACAGUGACACCAAGGGAAGUUGACUAAGUCACAUGUAAAUUAGGAGUGUUUUAAAGAAUGCCAUAGAUGUUGAUUCUUAACUGCUACGGAUAACCUGUAAUUGAGCAGAUUUAAAAUUCAGGCAUACUUUUCCAUUUAUCCAAGUGCUUUCAUUUUUCCAGAUGGCUUCAGAAGUAGGCUCGUGGGCAGGGCGCAGACCUGAUCUUUAUAGGGUUGACAUAGAAAGCAGUAGUUGUGGGUGAAAGGGCAGGUUGUCUUCAAACUCUGUGAGGUAGAAUCCUUUGUCUAUACCUCCAUGAACAUUGACUCGUGUGUUCAGAGCCUUUGGCCUCUCUGUGGAGUUUGGCUCUCUGGCUCCUGUGCAUUCUUUGAAUAGUCACUCGUAAAAACCGUCAGUGCUUGAAACUGUUUCCUUUACUCAUGUUGAAGGGACUUUGUUGGCUUUUAGAGUGUUGGUCAUGACUCCAAGAGCAGAGCAGGGAAGAGCCCAAGCAUAGACUUGGUGCCGUGGUGAUGGCUGCAGUCCAGUUUUGUGAUGCUGCUUUUACGUGUCCCUCGAUAACAGUCAGCUAGACACACUCAGGAGGACUACUGAGGCUCUGCGACCUUCAGGAGCUGAGCCUGCCUCUCUCCUUUAGAUGACAGACCUUCAUCUGGGAACGUGCUGAGCCAGCACCCUCAGAUGAUUUCCCUCCAAACUGCUGACUAGGUCAUCCUCUGUCUGGUAGAGAUAUUCACAUCUUUGCUUUUAUUCUAUACUCUCUGUACUUUUGACCAAAAAUUGACCAAAAUAAGAAAAUGCAAGUUCUAAAAAUAGACUAAGGAUGCCUUUGCAGAACACCAAAGCAUCCCAAGGAACUGGUAGGGAAGUGGCGCCUGUCUCCUGGGGUGGAAGAGGCCUGCUCCCUGGCUCUGGGUCUGCUGGGGGCACAGUAAAUCAGUCUUGGCACCCACAUCCAGGGCAGAGAGGUCUGUGGUUCUCAGCAUCAGAAGGCAGCGCAGCCCCUCUCCUCUUCAGGCUACAGGGUUGUCACCUGCUGAGUCCUCAGGUUGUUUGGCCUCUCUGGUCCAUCUUGGGCAUUAGGUUCUCCAGCAGAGCUCUGGCCAGCUGCCUCUUCUUUAACUGGGAACACAGGCUCUCACAAGAUCAGAACCCCCACUCACCCCCAAGAUCUUAUCUAGCAAGCCUGUAGUAUUCAGUUUCUGUUGUAGGAAGAGAGCGAGGCAUCCCUGAAUUCCACGCAUCUGCUGGAAAUGAGCCGUGUCAGAUCGCACAUCCCUGCGCCCCCAUGCCCCUCUGAGUCACACAGGACAGAGGAGGCAGAGCUUCUGCCCACUGUUAUCUUCACUUUCUUUGUCCAGUCUUUUGUUUUUAAUAAGCAGUGACCCUCCCUACUCUUCUUUUUAAUGAUUUUUGUAGUUGAUUUGUCUGAACUGUGGCUACUGUGCAUUCCUUGAAUAAUCACUUGUAAAAAUUGUCAGUGCUUGAAGCUGUUUCCUUUACUCACAUUGAAGGGACUUCGUUGGUUUUUUGGAGUCUUGGUUGUGACUCCAAGAGCAGAGUGAGGAAGACCCCCAAGCAUAGACUCGGGUACUGUGAUGAUGGCUGCAGUCCAGUUUUAUGAUUCUGCUUUUAUGUGUCCCUUGAUAACAGUGACUUAACAAUAUACAUUCCUCAUAAAUAAAAAAAAACAAGAAUCUGAA